AAAAAAAAAAAAAAAAAUGCAUGGCUUGCAGUGUUAUGGGUGCUAAAAGUGCGAUGGUGAUGGUGAUAAUGAUGUCAAUCUGAGGAAUUUCGUUGUUACAGUGAUAGUGCUAUAUUUUUUAUAUAUUAAGCAAUUUGUUUUCAAUGAAUAUUUCAAAGGGUUCUACUCGGUUAACUGAAUGAACUUUAAUUCGCAUUUGAUCAUUGAAAUGAUAGGUUAUUGAAAAUCAAAACCAGUCUACUAAAUAAUGUCACCUGGUCACUGAAAUUUUUAGAAGUUUAUGGCAAUAUCACAGCAUGGUAACAUCAGUGUUAAAUCUUUCUUAUUGAUGCAUUUUUUAUUUUCCACUGGAAGUUUUUUUUGUAUUCCUUGGCAUCUUUCCUGAAGAGACUGGUACACUCUGCAGGAUGUUCUAAAGAAAGACACAGGUGGUUAUAAUGAGGUUGGUGCAGCGUUUGGAGAGGAUAUUUUAGAAGCUAAUGGGGAAGUGGAUAGGCCAACGCUCGGUCAGAUAGUGUUCUCUGAUCCUGCAAAACGUCAACUUCUUAAUCGGUACUGAUAGUAUUCAUUGGGUGUUUGAUUGACAACAAAAGUUUUUGUUUACUACCUUUGCAUUAUUAGGAAUGCAUUCCAAAUUAAAGAAUAAAGGAAUGAAUAAGUAGAUUAAACUAUAAAAUUAUAUUAAAGAAUAAUUGCAUUAUGCCAUCCAUGUCCUAUCAAACUAAGGUUAUUAAAUAUUUAAUGUAAUUAUCUUUUCUUAACUUUUCCAUAUGAUUAUGGCUGGCUUACGUUGUAUCUUAGACCUUCAAGUGUUGUAGAAAAUAAGUGAUUAAAUUUCUGGAGAAUAGCCAUUUUGUUUUGAAAUUGCAAUGCCGGGGUUUAAGGGAAGCAUCUGAGUUUGUGUUCAUCAAUCUGCCUUGUUUAUUGACUGAAAUAGGAACAGAUUAAGUAUACUUUCAGUGACAUAAGUAAUUUGGUGCUUGUUGGCUCUGUUUAAAUGAUCUGAAUUAGUUUUAUGAAGCAUUUCACAUCCAACUCCACUGAUGAUUCAAAAAUAGCAGUUUUGUCAUAGUAAAUUACAUUCAUGAUCACUAAGCAGAAUCUAUAUACUGAAACAAUUUAUUUUGAACUAAUACCUGUGACUUUCUAAUUGUCCAGGUCAAAUAUCAGGUGUAUAAUCUUGUCAUCUGGAAUACUAUGCUAAUAAAGCAUUAUUGGUUUUGUCUAGAGCAGCCAAGUUAUUCUUGGUAAUGCAUUGCAGGACAUUUGUAUUGAAAAACUGUCAUGGAUUUGUAUAUUCCAUCACUUCUUAAUUUUGCUGUUAGUGUCCUUGCAGGCUCUUGGCUCCUUAUAUAUCCUCUGGUAUCUUUUAUGAAAUUUUGAAACUAUGGUUGAGGGGUUGUAAGGUGAUUGUCCUUGAUAUCCCUUUGUUGUUUGAGGCCAAGAUGGAUAAAUGGACGAAGCCCAUUAUUGUUGUAUGGGUUGAUACCGAAACACAGCUUCAGCGACUCAUGGCAAGGGACAGAAUCAGUGAGGAGGAUGCCAGAAAUAGGAUAAAUGCUCAGAUGGCCAUGGAUUUAAAAAGGUCCAAGGCUGACAUUGUCAUUGAUAACACUGGCUCGUUAGAGGACUUGGAGGAACAAUUCCGGAAGGUAUUAUUCCAGGUUACUAGACCCCUGACAUGGUCUGAAUUCUGGCUUUCAAGACAAGGUGCCUUGACAGCCCUUAUUUCCUUUGGAAUUGUGGUUGUUGUAGGAAAAAUUGUUAGCGGGAUAUUAUAAACAAAAAUUUUCAGGCUUUUAAAAUUUUGUAUCAUUUCAUGCUUGUUGUUUGGGUAAUAAAAGGGGGCGCUGCACCACCUACAAAAGACCCGAAAGUGGGUAAGCUACCCCAACACAAUCACUAGAAAGCAGACCUGGGAUUCAUUGAGGAGAAGAAUGCCGAAAUACAAAGAAAAAGCAUGGCUUCCAAGCCAAUCUGUGGCAUGGUUCCCGUACCUCUGCUCAGAGAAGCAGAACAUUAGCCAAUAUGGAUUGCAAAGCGCCAAAGCCACCUACACCAGGCACCAAUCAUCUGCAGAACACCAGGGCUUUUUUCCCCUUCCAUCUCAAGCUACUUGUAGUUUCCUGUAACUUUCAUUUGUUUAUGGACCUUUAUGUGAAAAAAGCACUCUCAAUGGCAAUAAUUUUAACUUAGUAAAUUGGAUUGGUUGAUCAUAAUUCAACUGUCUAGGUAAUGAAAAUCAGAGGUUCACCUAAUCCACCAUGAGAGGGUCAUGGUGUAUGACAAGAUACAAUAUAAAGUAUAUAAAAUUCCAUCUUUAAAUGUCAAAGGUUAGUUGGUAAUUUAAAAAAAUAAUAAUAAAA
rnacentral:misc_RNA from 1 species